GACGAACGCUGGCGGCGUGCUUAACACAUGCAAGUCGAACGGUGACCUCGAGAGCUUGCUCUCGGGUGAUCAGUGGCGAACGGGUGAGUAACACGUGAGUAACCUGCCCCAGACUCUGGAAUAACCCCGGGAAACCGGAGCUAAUACCGGAUACGAGACGGAGUCGCAUGGCUACCGUCUGGAAAGUUUUUCGGUCUGGGAUGGACUCGGGGCCUAUCAGCUUGUUGGUGAGGUAACGGCUCACCAAGGCGACGACGGGUAGCCGGCCUGAGAGGGGGACCGGCCACACUGGGACUGAGACAGGGCCCAGACUCCUACGGGAGGCAGCAGUGGGGAAUAUUGCACAAUGGGCGAAAGCCUGAUGCAGCGACGCCGCGUGAGGGAUGACGGCCUUCGGGUUGUAAACCUCUUUCAGCAGGGAAGAAGCGAAAGUGACGGUACCUGCAGAAGAAGCACCGGCUAACUACGUGCCAGCCGCCGCAGUAAAAC
rnacentral:rRNA from 1 species